CUAUUACUCCAGUCGGUCUAUUUUUAACCUAGAAAAAAUUGCAAAAGAAUUGAUUCCGUAUGGGUCGUAUUCUCCUAUGUCUAAUUAAUACAAAGUGUUAUUUUCAAGUCUCAACUCAAUGGGGAAAGUGUUAAAAUUAAACGCUAAAAAUGGCGAAAAAUGCGAAUUUUUCUGAUGUCAAAUAAAGUACACCAUACAUGGUUUUCCAAUAAAUAUGACGUCAUAAAGUGACGUGCAACAGUACAACAUGGCGGGCAAAGUCAGUUUGACAGUUCUGCUGAUCGAUGUGGUAUCAACUGUGAUUUAAGGUUAUAAAGACGGUAAGUAGAAGUUUUGUAUUUUAAGUGAUGUGAAUUGAUAUUUUUCAAUAUUGAGCAAUACUUAAUUGUGCCGAUGUUUUAGAAGAAAUCUAGUUGAAACAAGAUUAUAAGAAGGAGCCCUCUUCAAACACAUGGCAACAUGCAACACGUUAUAUAUUGACUUAUUGAGUUGUUUAUACUUCUUUGUAGACUUUUAUUUACAUAUAAAAGACAAAUGGACAGUUGACACUUACCGAAAUCAUUGUAAAUACAUUUUUGGACAACCUGUAAACCGAAUUCUGCACAAUUGCUAAAAGUACGGAAGCCUGUUUUUGUCAAAAUUCGCAAAAUUUGUGAAAAAUAUUAUUUCUUAUUUUGUCCCUUUCAUUCAAUUUUUUAUUUUAACACGUUUAUUAUGAACAUGAAGUUGCUAAGCAUUAAAUAUUUUCUAUAUUAACUCCAUUUCAGGUCACGUUGAUCAAUGAAAUACAGAUUGCGGAAGAAAUCAGUUACUCUUGUUUAAUGUGGCUUGUUACCUGCAAAUAUCAUUACUAUGGUUCAUACAUCGACGAGGGAAGUUGAAAGAAGGCAGUGGGGGCUGGUCAUUGGGAAUUUUUUAAGCAAAGGGCAAUGUAUGAUGGAUGACGGGCGAAAAGCAGAAGUUUAAGAUCGGAUGAGACGUUUGAUAUUAAGUGUGACUGCUUUUUCAACGCUAAAUCGGACAAAAAGUUUAAGAUCGGAUGAGACGUUUGAUAUCAAGUGUGACUGCUUUUUCACGCCGACGCUAAAUCGUAUAAAUCAGAUAUAAGGCGAGCAAAUCAGACAAAGAAAGUAGGUGAUAUCAAGAAGAAUGUCCUUGGACCAGAGUUAUGCAACAUGCUUCCGUUCAUGCAUGCAUACACAGGUUGUGAUGCGACUUCUAUGAUAUAUGGUAUCAGCAAAGAAGCCGUACUGAAGCUUUCAGAACCAGUCCCAAGUUCAGACAGGUCAUUGAGAAAUUUAAUGAAGAAGAACCAGACGUUAACAAGAUAACAACUCGUAGAAAAGAGGCAAUAAUUCUUCUCAACAACGGUGAUACUUGAGAAGGGCUCGAUAUCCUGAGAUUCCGGAAGUUUACCAAGAAGGUUUGCACAACUUGUCAAGCAAAACGGCUGCCUUUCGCUUUCAAUCACUGCGCACAUACCUACAGACACAGAUAUGGCGUGGGAACAACACACUGGAUGCAGUAGAUUGGGGCUGGGAUAUAUCCAACAACAAAUUAAUUCCAGUAAGGAAACAUCUUCUGUCUGCUCCUGAACCUCAACUCAAAGUAAUAAGCUGUAAUUGCCAACAAAGUUGUGACUCACAACGAUAUACGUGCAGGAAACAUGGACUUGAUUGUUCACAAGGCUGUGGGAACUGUCGAUGAAACUGUUCAAAUUCCUCCGACGUCAAUGAUCAUGACGAAAUUGUGUCUGAGACCUGAACGUAUUAUAUGUACGACCUGUAUAAAGAUUUAAAAAAUGUAAAAGGAUUCAAUGCAUUUAUGAAAAUAUUUGAAAGCAUUCAGUUUUUUCAAUAACUAUACACAUCAUUUAUUGGCAUGUUUCCGUAACAAAUGGCAUUGACACGUUAUAAUUGAUGCAAUAUGUAUAUAAGUACAGAGUAUAGAUUUAAAUAAUUAUAUUUAGUCUUUAGAAUGCAGUACGUUUAGUGUGCGCAUAUAUAUUUAUUGUUUCAAAUUAGACAAUGCCAGAUUUUCCAAUGUGUUUAUUUGAUUGUGGAUGUUUAUUUUCUAUAAUACGUAUCAAAAUAGAUCUGUAUAUGUGAAAAACUUUGAAAUACAAAAAUAUACUUUAAUCAUUCAUUUAAUAAAUGAUUAAACUAUA